rnacentral:lncRNA from 1 species
AUGGGUUUGAUGUGAUAAUUCCACAAUAUUAAAGUGCCAGUGCAUAAAGGACCUGCAGGAAAAAAAAACAAACCAGCAUGAUAAGGACAAUUAAAGUGCCACUAUUAAAGUGACAGUGAAGAUGUGCAAACAAACAUAACUAAAAUAAAAAACUGUCUAUUAUAUAUGGAAAAUAAUUAAAAGAAAAAUCAAAACUAAAAUAUCAGUUAAUGUAUAGAAAUGUGAUCACUGCCAUGAUGAAAAAUACUGCUUAUGAAUAUAAUGUGACAGCUACAAGAUCUUAUUGCGACACCCUCACUUUACUUAUCAGAGGUUUUAAUGUUGUGGCUGUUCAGUGUAUGUACCAAACACCUGCUCCCCAAAUCCAUUUGUGGCUGUAGUCAAUCUUAAUGCUCUAAGCUGUCUUGACAUGAAUGAAGAAAGAAAAAACACAAUUCUCCAUUCCUUCUAAGUCUGAUUUGAGUAUCUGAAACAAUGCACAUACACUUGAACCCUCUGGUGCCUGAGGUUUAACUCCACCUCUGCCAGUGUCAUUGGAGCAUCAGCCAGCCCAGAACAAUAAAUCCUGGGUGGCAUUCUGUGCAUGUGUGAGGUCUGUCAGACAUGGUGCCACAGAGGGGCGGCAUGUGCUCCUCUCAGCUUGACCUCCCUGAUAUACAUUCCCCUCCAUUGAGGUGGAAUGACAUCAGCGAAGGACAAUCUGGCAGAGGAAGGACUUAUAUCAGGAGUUCAGCCAUUUUCUUUAUUUUUCUUUUGUGGGGGACAGGAUAGGAAGAGUUAAUCUCAGCAAAAACAGUGUUUUCUUAGAUAUUUUUGGUUGGAGUAAUUUUCACAAUUAUUAUUUUUUAUUUAUAUAGCGCCAUCAGAUUCUGUAGCGCUGUGCAAAGGGUGGACUAACAGACAUUUAAAUGUAACCAGACAACUCGACGUACAGGAACAGAGAGGUGGAGAGCCCUGCUCAAUGAGCUAACAUUCUAGAGGGAGUGGGGUAUAGUGACACAAAGGGUAAAAGUAGGGGUACAAAGUAAGUUGUUAGAAAAGUAUUUGCUAAGGGCUUAAUAGGUAAUUUUUUGACAGUUGCAGGAGAGGAGUCAUGGAGGGUGGGGGAUGAAAACCUGCUAACAGUUUAAUUGAAAUGCUUUCUCGAAGAAGUGAGUUUUCAAUGAUUUUGUGAAUGAGUGGAGACUGACGCAGUGUAUCAGGACUGUCAUAAAAAUGUGAGCAAGAGUAAAGUGUCUAGAACGCUACAAAUACCAGUGAUACCAACUGCUCUGGGACUGGGUACUUGAUAUGCAUUGCUUUCCAUCAGUGCAUGUGAUCAGUCUCAGAGCACCGACUAUCAACAUUCCAAGUCUUACCUUCACUCAAAGCCAAGUAUCAACACUUCCUUUAACCACACACCUUAUUAAAUAUAUGGUUUAAAAAACAUGAUAUGGUCUGUUAGUGUAAUGAAUGUAUUGUGAUUUGGUAGAACAAUACUUUUAGAACUAGUUAGGUGGUAAACAAGGAGCACGUUUAUAAUGACAGACAUUGCAAAUCAAUGCAGUUAUAAGUCACUCUCAAAAGGGAGACAAGGUGAAGCGUACUAUCUGCACCAUAACCUGUACAGUGAUGUUAAGGUGCAGUCUAAGCACCCCACCAUCACAGCCCAUAGUAGUAGUUAUGGUGCUCAAAUAUGGACAAAACUGAUAUUGCUGAUGUGGAAGUGUAAAUUAUGUGAUAGUGAUAAAGACAUGGCAAGGAGGAGAAUUUAUAAAGGUAUUAAAAUUUUAAAUUAUUCCUUAUGAAUGGAUCUUAUUAGUCAUCAAUUGAUUUCUGUGAGCAUUUUCCCAAAAAUCCUUUCCAAAAUGAAUCAGUACAAGAGUUCCAUCUAGUGGCCAUUACAUAUAUUACAGGGAGAAGAGAGACUAACAGACAUUGGUUUCAAAUUAAAAUAUUGUAAAGUAAAUAUAUAUAUCGUUAGUUGUCUAACCCAAGGACACUUAAUGUUAAGGUGGUCUGACUAGGAUUCAAUCUGAGUUUUACAGUUCUAAGAAGCAGACUUGCUGCAAACUGGCAUGAAUAAUGACCUGUAUUACUUUGUUUCCGGAUGAUUUUUUCUAUUCUUCAUGUGUUAUUUUAAGAUAUGAUGAACAAUGUAUAUGGCUGAAAUUGAAAUAACGGCAUAGAGAUAAUUUUCACCCUCUAACGGGGCAUGACUGCCACAUACAGUGAGCUUCAAAGUUCUAUCAGUAUAUCACACUUCUAGAAGAUAAAACCACAUGAUUAGCUAUACCAAACAAUCCAUUAAGCGGUAAUACAUAUGAAAAUGUAACGUGUAUCUGUCCUGAAUAAGGAAGGUAUAAAGCACACAAUUAUAUCUAUAUAUUUUUAUAGGUAAACACCUAGCAAAUUUACAAAUAACUAUUUUUAUUGCUG